rnacentral:rRNA from 1 species
UUUUAGUAACGGCGAGUGAAGCGGUAACAGCUCAAAUUUGAAAUCUGGCUCUUGCGGAGUCCGAGUUGUAAUUUGUAGAAGAUGCUUUGGGUUGUGGGUUCGGCCUAAGUUCCUUGGAACAGGACGUCAUAGAGGGUGAGAAUCCCGUAUGUGGCCGAGGCCCGCGCCUAUGUAAAGCUCUUUCAACGAGUCGAGUUGUUUGGGAAUGCAGCUCAAAAUGGGUGGUAAAUUUCAUCUAAAGCUAAAUAUGGGCCAGAGACCGAUAGCGCACAAGUAGAGUGAUCGAAAGAUGAAAAGCACUUUGGAAAGAGAGUUAAACAGUACGUGAAAUUGUUGAAAGGGAAGCGCUUGCAACCAGACUUGGGCGCUGCCGAUCACCUUGAGUUUUCUCGAGUGCACUCGACAGCGCACAGGCCAGCAUCGGUUCGGGUGGCUGGAUAAAGGCCGUAGGAAUGUGGCUCUCUUCGGGGAGUGUUAUAGCCUACGGUGCCAUGCAGCCCAGCCGGACCGAGGACCGCGCCUUCGGGCUAGGAUGCUGGCGUAAUGGUUGUAAGCGACCCGUCUUGAAACACGGACCAAGGAGUCUAACAUCUAUGCGAGUGUUUGGGUGGUAAACCCAUACGCGGAAUGAAAGUGAACGUAGGUGAGAACCCCUUUGGGGCGCAUCAUCGACCGAUCCUGAUGUCUUCGGAUGGAUUUGAGUAAGAGCAUAGCUGUUGGGACCCGAAAGAUGGUGAACUAUGCCUGAAUAGGGUGAAGCCAGAGGAAACUCUGGUGGAGGCUCGCAGCGGUUCUGACGUGCAAAUCGAUCGUCAAAUUUGGGCAUAGGGGCGAAAGACUAAUCGAACCAUCUAGUAGCUGGUUCCUGCCGAAGUUUCCCUCAGGAUAGCAA